GACGAACGCUGGCGGCGCGCUUAACACAUGCAAGUCGAGCGAAGCGGCGGCCGGGUGAGUAACACGUGAGUAACCUGCCUUAGACCUUGGGAUAGACUCGGGAAACCGGGAUUAAUACCAAAUGGUCUAAGAUGGACUCGCGUACCCUUAGCUAGGUGGUGAGGUACCGGCCCACCAAGGCGAAGAUGGGUAGCCGGACGGGGAGGGGGAACGGCAACAGUGGAACUGAGAAACGGUCCAAACUCUACGGGAGGAAGCAGUGGGGAAUAUGGCACAAUGGAGGGAACUAUGAUGCAGCGACGCCGCGUGAACGAAGAAGGCUUUAGAGUCGUAAAGUUAUUUUAUAGGGGAAGCGGUACCAUAAGAAAAAGCCCCGGCUAACUACGUGCCAGCAGCCGCGGUAAUUC
rnacentral:rRNA from 1 species